UUAAAAUACAUGUUAAUUUGCUUUUAAUUUAUAUAGAGGAUUGCUACUGUAUGAUAAAUAUUCUGUGACAGAAAUUAAGUUAGUUUAUUCACUUUUAUAUUCUGCAAGGAAACGAAAGGGAUAAAGAUGCUCAAACUCAGCAAAAAAAAAAAAAAGCAAUACUCAUUAAAAUUGAUGAUACCCAUAAACCAACAAAAAUGGCAGGGCUUAAUAACAUUUAACGAGGAAAAAUAAUGCAAUAGACUCCUCAUAAGCUAGUGACCCUUUACACUGAGUUAUUUUCCUAUUUGUCCAUUUGUAUUUAGGUUACUGAGAAAAGUGCUCAGAGUAGGGGACAGUAUUACUGAGAAGCCGUAAAAGAUGUAAGGUACAUCCAUUUUCUUAAUUUUUAUUAUUACUCUAAGCUGUCAAAAUCAUUUUAAAAUUAACAACAGACUCCUCCUGCUUAAUGUAGAUUAAUUCCUUUCUUUAUUCUGGAAAAUGUUUCUUUUUUGGGGGAAAGAAAGUAUUUAGUGACCUAUUGUAACAAACACCUUUAAGAGAACGCUAUUUUUAAUGAGUGUGAGAUUUCAGUGUGACUGAGUGCUGGCACAGAUGGUAACGACUGGGUCCAAUCACUGCACAGCCAAUGACUGUCUGAAUAUCUUAUAAAAGGAGGAAUAUAUAUAUAUUAUAUAUAGGGUGAUGACACACUGGAACAAGUUGCCCAAGGAGGCUGUGGAAGCCACAUUCCUGGAAGCAUUCAAGGGCAGGCUGGAUGUGGCUCUGGGCAGCCUGAUCUGGCGGUUGGCAGCCCUGUGCAUAGCAGAGAGGUUGAAACCUCUCUGAUCAUUGCGGUUCUUUUCAACCCAGGCCAUUCUAUGAUUCUUAAGUGUAAUAUUUCAAAGCACGUUCUGUUAAUUUGUUCCUUUUACUGCACAAUUCUGUGUGCUAUUUCAUAUCUUUAGAAUUUUGGUAAUGUAUGUUUCCUACGUCUUUGAAGCACCAGGGGAUCAUACUUUCCCUCCCAGACAAUCAGCUAACAGCUUAAUUGUCACAAUCCGGAGGAAGUAGCGGACUUAUUUUAGAUGCACACUUCAGAUAACAACAUAUAGACUCCCUUGUAUAGCAGUUAUAAGGAAAGCAGCAAAUGAAAGAAAAUAAAGGCAUCCAAGAACAAUGUUUAAGCAAGAUCUUAGUAAGGUAGGUGGAACAGUUGAUAACAGGCUCUUGGAGCUGAUGGAAAGAGCAGGAACGUACAGAAUGGAAAGAGGUUACAGCCUCUUCCUUCUAUUACCCUUGUGAAGGUAAUGGAACAGAAUACGUAUGUGAAUGCUUGCACUGUAGCAGCUUUUGCUUUUCUCCAAAGCAUCAGUGAAAUACAUGAUACAUUCAAAAUGAAGUUCAACACUGGCCAAAAGAUGUAAAAUUUUAUUGGCCAAAAGGAAAAUGCCCCUUGAUGGACUGCAUUAAGAAUUCUGAAGGUAUUCUGUUUUCUGGUAGUAAGAAACAUGUCAGAAAACUGUUUCUGAUUCGGGUGGCUUUUUUUGUUCUGUUAAAGUAAGGAGCUCCUGGCAAAGUAUGCUUACGGUUUCAGUUAGCAAAGAUGGUUUCAAAGAAAACAGGCAGAAGGAAUAUUGUAAAGUAACAAACUGGAAUUCCACAAAAACAGUGGCUAUAGCAGUACAAACAGGGAGUGUUGGGGGCUGUGAUUUAAGUUUCAUAUCUGAGGACAGAAAAAUGUAAGAUCAAGUUAAUGCUGAGAAAUGAAUGCCAAAUUUGCAUUAUUUGAUGUUUGCUUAUCAAGCAAAGUCAGUUGUUUCAAUUUUUAUAAAUCAAAUCAUUCUAGAAGGAAUUAAAAUGGAGCCUUAUGAAUGCAAAUUAAUUAAUUUUUUGCUCAGUUGUCAGAACUAAGCAUGAACUUCCUUCAUAAGAAGUUGUCUCAGUCCCUGACAAUAUUGCUACUGAUACCAGUGAUUUCUUUAACUCAAAGUCAAUAUUUGAGGUAGUUUUCUUUUUUUUAGGGGGGAAGAGGGAAAGGGGAGAGGCCAAGAAUUUUCUAUUUUACUACAAAUCCUUUUUUUUUUUUUUAAACAAGGAUAAAAACCUAGAGUUUGCAUUCAGUGAAAAGGGCGCUGCAAUUUUAUUUGGUUCUACACCAACUAGCUAUGUUCUGCAACUUUAUAGUUUUGUCACUAGAAGUUUAGUCACCAGUAAUUCAUAUAUGUACAUUAGUUUAUUGCUGAAAAUGGAUUCUUGGAUGAUAAAAUGAUAUGAAGAAAUGGGCGUUAAUUCAGCCCAAAUAUAUAAACUUCAGAAGAGACAGGAAGAUCUGCAUGCAUUUCUGGCUCAUGCAGUCAACAUUCAUGAUAGGAAACAGACGCUGAAGAGAAACGAGCACUUGCCAGAUUACAUGUGCUUUUUUAAAACUUGGUAUCUUAUUGCAUUUAUUUCACAUACUGUACUCAUUACCAAUCUUGUGAGGAAAUUCAGCCCUUGGUAAAUAUUCAGUGAAAAAGACAGAGCAUGGAGGGAAUGUGUACUAGUGAAACAGUGAUGCAAAGACUGGGUAAGAAAAGAAAAAUCUGUUUUUAAAGAGCAGAAUUACUGAUGGAUGACAAAGUCAGUGGAAGUCAGCUAGAACCUUUGUACACCAAGAGUUGAACAUCAAUUCCAUAACUAGAGAACAUUUUAUUUAAAAGGUUGUAUGGAAGAGGCACUCCAGUAACACAUUGUUACUUGUCAAGCAGGAGUCACUACUAACAGUACUGAUGGAUGGAUUUUGUAUUUCAUGCAUAUUAGAAAGAACAUUAGAAAAACAGCUCUGUGAAGUAGGAGUCAUUACAUCAGUAGUAAGAUGAACUUACUCUACAAUGAACUCAUCUUUUGGACUAUCUUAGAUUUAGCCAAAUACUUCUGUUAGCCCUUCUACAGUUUCAGAUGUUCCUUGAUCAAUGUGUGGUAUCAGUUACCUCCCGUGUCAUCCCUUCCUGUUUUCUUCACUAUUAAAAAUCCUUCUAAAUUUCCCUUCUAAAUCAGUGGGUUUCAUCCUUGAAAGCAGCUUCUUCAACAGAGUUCAAGGCAACUUUCAGUGAGUCACAAGGUAAGGUAUAGGAUGUUCAGAUGCCAGCACUGUGUUCCGUGCAUUCUUCAGCUCAGUAGAGCUGCUGUUUAUUCUCUAAUGGGCAAUGAGAGAAAGUAAGCCAUGAGGAUAAGAGUAACACAGUCUGCUGAGUGAGUUUCCUUCAAUGUCUCCCUCUGAAUUUGCUGACCUUUGUGGCUGGAGACUGUCCAGCUUUUUGUCUGCAGCAUUUCUGUACUCACAGAAUAUUCACAACAGAACAACUGAAUCCUCAGCUAGUAUCAUUCCAGUAUCACCCUCAGUAAUUGCUCUUCACUCUCUUAUUCUCCCAUGUUCCUAGUAUUGUUGCUGUUACCAGCAGGUCGACUAACAUCAGAAAUCUGAAAGGUAAGGGAGGAUGUAAGGGGUCCACAAGGCAGGGGAAAGAGAAACAGCUGUCCUUCUAAGGGAAGGAUCAGCAAGGUAAGAACCUUAUGUUUUAGCAUGUUAUGUAUUUAAUUCAAAAUGGCAGUGAGGUUCCCAAUAGAAUAAAACAGCAGACUGUAUGGGGAAUAUUCUUCUGGGCAUCUCAUAGAAAAAUUAAAAGAAGGACAGCUGUAGAAAUUGCAAAAGAAAACUAAAGAACCAAAUGAAGGAUUAAAUGUUGUUUACAUGCUAUGCUACAGAUUUCUGCUGUAAGGAUAUUAAUGUUGUUAAACUUCCAACAAUGUUCUUAAACUUUGUAGGGUGAUACAAGCACAUAAGGAAUUAGGAAGAGUAUUUUUUUGCUUUCCUUUUGAAGGACUAACUACUGCUUUUUUAUAAUCUGCAAAGAGUUGCAUGAGGGAAAAUGCAAAGCACAGCAUCCAACAUAUUAACAUGCUAAUUUGGAGGGAAUGUGAAAAGUAGUUUCACUUGCUUGCAUCUUCAUGUUACUCUCUUACAGAACCUGUUAAACAAGGCCUGGCCCAGGCAUAGUUAGCAACCCUGGGGGGAAACAUACCUUACCAAUUGCGUGGCAGCCCCUUAUGAACAACGUGGGACUAGCAUAGAUCAAGGGCAGGAUGACAGAUACUGCAAUCGUCCUGUUUGUGAAAUGCAGCAUUUAAUAAGAAAUCAUAAAGUAGCAGGGAAGAUUUCAACAUUAAACAGAAGUUGAAGAGAGGCUCGGGAGUGCUGUGUUUUGCAUGUGUGCCCAGUGGGAGUGUUUAUCCUAAUGGGAGGUUUGGGAGCGCUGCGUGCUGUGCCAUGCCAUACAGCCAUUUGGCUUUGUGGCUGGAAGCAGCCGUGCUGGUUUGGUGAAGCAAUUGAGAGCUAAAUAUGUGCCUUGCAUUCUGUUUGAUUGUUGUAGCUUGUGCUGCGUUCUCACGGGGUGGUUAACAUGCCUUCCUCUAUUGCUUGUAGCUGUACUGUCUGUGGUGCUCCAAGAGCUGAUGCUGUAAUUGCUACACUGUGCUUCACCAUUUUAUAUAUAUAUAUAAAUCAUUUCAGGAAACAGUUGUUCUGAAUAGAAAUAUGAAAAAAAAUGUUUUAUGUUCUACUUUGAGCAUUUAAUAUCACCAAGAACGAUACCUCUAAAUAAUCUCUCAAACUUGAGCUGCUCUGUGGCUUCAAGUGAUUUCACAGUCCUUUUCCUUAUGUUAGUGCAGUCCUCCAGCAUUGUUGCUUACAUCCUAGAGAAUUUGGUUCACAGCAUUUUGAGAGGAGUGAUCAGAAACAAACAAAAAGCAACAAAAACAUGCACAUGAAUUUCUUUGGAACUAACAAAUACCUUAUCAAUAAACUAAGGGUAAGAUGUUAGGAGCUUCCCUGCUUCUCCAUUCUGAUUCACAAGAAAGAGAUGAUCUCAGCAGAAAAAAUGUGGUACUCAGAGUAUAUGGUAUGUCUCUAGAAGUACAGGUACACAGGGAACCUGUAAGAACAUCUGUCCCUUUGUGUUAAAGAGCUAACGUUUUAGAACUUGCUACAAGGUAAGUAGGAUUCUGACACUCAGCACCAAAUGAAGUUUCCAAAAAUGUUAGAAAAUACAUUGACGCAUAAAUUGCAUUUUCUAACUUUGGAAGAGAUGUUAAAGGAAGGAAAAUGUUGAAUGAACAGAAGUUGAUACUGUGUUGGAAAUUUAUGGAUAGGAUGCCCUGUCUUUUCAUGAAGAUUUGACAAAUUCAUAGCAUUUACUACCUUGAAAUAAAACAAAUAAAACUACGUGAGCAGCAACAGCCAUUUGUAAAAGAAACCCCACUGCUUCCAGAUAAAUUUAAAGAGCUACUCCCACUUUUCAAAGGUUUUCUGAUAUAAAAGGUUCCAGCAGAAGGAUAUAUGUGGAAUAACAAAGCUCAGCAAAAGCCAUCUAACUCAAGAAAAAGGUGACAGCAGGGAAUCCUGCGUCUAAGAAAUGCCACGAUCAGGAUUCAGCUUUUAUAGGCUCUCAGAAAAGGAGAGAUGCUCUUGUAUACACAUCGGGCUGAGGAUGACCUAGACCAAAAUUCCCAAAUUCUAACAUGCUGAAGCAAAGCUCGGCGUAAAUAAUUCCUGAGUAGCCAAGCACAUUGUCCUGGCUGAUACUGAAAACUGUUGAUACAGCAACUUCUGCUACUGCUACCUACAAUGGCUGCAGUGGGUAGUGAGCAAGACGGAUUUGGGAACCACCGAUCUGGAUGCAUUUACUUCAACUGCUGACUGAGGUAAUGUGUUCAAUUUAGUUGAAGAAGAACAAGAGAAUGCUAAUGAGCAUGAAGAAUAUACAGAAGUUAAUGAAAGCAACAUAACUAGGUGGUGGAAAACGGUAAGCCCUGAAAGUUGGGUGAAAAGGGAACUAGAGACCAUGGCCCAAACAUACAAAAAUGCAUUUGAUAUUUUCUUUUCCUGUUUUCCUAACAAAUACAGCAAAAACUGAAUGCUGAGGAGAAAAAGCACCACAGAAACAAAUAACUAGGGAUGGGUGCAUGAUAUCUUGAGGAAAAACAUUUAAGGCAGAAAUACUGUAGUUCUAAAGAACCUAAGGGAUAACAAAAUCUUUAAAAUGCAUUUCUGAUCAUCUUUGCUUAGUAUGAACUUCAAGUGGAAACUGAAAAGUGGAGCAGCUAGCAUUAACCACUUUUUAACACAGUUAUUCAAAUCCUUGCUGAAUUACACAACUUGUAUUGAAAUAAAUAGGAACUGCUGGUGCUGAGUUUUAUUAUAAAUUAGGCCGCUUGAGAAAUUGUUGCAUAACAGAUCUGAAAAAAAGUGAUUGUACAAGUCUUUUUUUUUCCUUUGGCCUCUGUAUGAGCUGCACGGGUGCAGUUGCCACAUCUUUAUGACAUGCUCUGUUUCUGUGGCUUUAAGCAGAGGCUAUACCAUCUUUCUGGUCUAGCCUUUCCUCUUCUUGGAACCACACAACUGAAUUUUGAAGAAGGAAAUGCAAAUACACAUCUUGACAUGGACAUCAAUUCUGGUAAAAAACAAAAACAAAAACAAAAACGAAAACAAAACAAAACAAAACACAAAAAAAACAAACAAAAAAAACCCACACCAAAACCGGUGGUAAAGUAAAGCCAUGCAUGAAAAAUUGGCAUUUCUGUUUUCCCCCAUUAAUUGUUAAUCGUGUAACAAACUGGAGAUGGUCUAUCAGAAGGGAUAAGAUUUUAGCUGGGAAGAGCAAAGUUCUAUCUCCAGACAUUUCCUGUAAUGGUGAGAUUUUCUGUUGGCUAUAAGUUAUCACUUCUCUCUCCACAAAUUCAGUAUGCCCAUGUGUGCCUUCUAUAGUAACAACUCUGUCACCUUCUUGUCAUCCUAAGAAUGAGCUUGACUUCAUCAGCAAGCAGCCUUGAUAUCCUUUCUGGAUAUCCUGUGCAUUUCUUCUGACUGGAAGGCUAGCAAAUCACUUUUUAUGGGAACUUUGGAGGGGCAAGGAUAGUCUCACUGGGCAUAUUUUCUUGCCCAAAAAGUGCUGGGUGAACUGCUAGGAACAAAACUAAUAUGCCUUAGCUGAAAGAAGAAAUUGCUCUUCUGAGGACUGGAUGCAUGGGGACAGGAGGAAAGAGAGAUGUGUUUAUCACACAGAAAAGCUACCUAGUUGAGGAAAGUCCAGCAUGCUUCACUGUUUACCAUGAGCUCAGGAGACAGAGAUCUUCUGAAGAGUGUGUCAUCUCCAGAAUUUCACUGGAUGCUUGCAUUCUCCAAACGAUCUCCAAUCUAAUUAGCAAUGCCAUCAUGCAGUUGGUGAUCCCCAGUCUCCAAGUAAUUGCACAAGUCUGCCUCUCAGCUAAGUAACACUACUCUUGUCUGUUUCUCUGCUUUGUAUGUUUAGAACAGAUCUCUGGAAACAU